GUAGGUGGCAAGCGUUGUCCGGAAUUAUUGGGCGUAAAGCGCGCGCAGGCGGUUCUUUAAGUCUGAUGUGAAAGCCCACGGCUCAACCGUGGAGGGUCAUUGGAAACUGGAGAACUUGAGUACAGAAGAGGAAAGCGGAAUUCCACGUGUAGCGGUGAAAUGCGUAGAGAUGUGGAGGAACACCAGUGGCGAAGGCGGCUUUCUGGUCUGUAACUGACGCUGAGGCGCGAAAGCGUGGGGAGCAAACAGGGAUUAGAUACCCUGGUAGUCCACGCCGUAAACGAUGAGUGCUAAGUGUCGGGGGGGUUUCCGCCCCCUUAGUGCUGCAGCUAACGCAUUAAGCACUCCGCCUGGGGAGUACGGCCGCAAGGCUG
rnacentral:rRNA from 1 species